rnacentral:rRNA from 1 species
GAUGAAUGCUGGCGGCGUGCCUAACACAUGCAAGUCGAACGGUAACAUGUUUCUCACCUUGGUCCUAACUUUCAAAGUUGGUGCUGAAGUGAGAAAUGAUGACGAGUGGCGGACGGCUGAGUAACGCGUGGGAACAUGCCCCAAAGUGAGGGAUAAGCUCCAGAAAUGGAGUCUAAUACCGCAUAUGAUCUUCGGAUUAAAGGAUUUAUCCGCUUUGGGAGUGGCCUGCGUACGAUUAGAUAGUUGGUGAGGUAAUGGCUUACCAAGUCUACGAUCGUUAGCUGGUCUGAGAGGAUGACCAGCCAGACUGGAACUGAGACACGGUCCA